UAAGCCUGAGUCUUUUGCUCUUUGUUCUUUGAGCUGUUUUAGCAAAGACGCGGGGAAUGGUUGCAAACUUGUUUUUUUGUCUUCCUGGCAAACUGGUAGUGGCUGCUGUAGGUCACCUUAUGAGAGGAGAGGAUGAAUAAGAGGAGAUAGGGCGCGGUGGAGGACAGUGAAGAGCAUUACAGAGGAGAAACGAUGAGUGGAGACACCAGAGGAGAAAUGCAGAAAGACAAGGACAUAAAAUCAGAGAGAAUAUAUGGGAUGAAAAUAGAGGAGAAUAAAGGACAAUGGAGACAGG